GAACUGAUGAUGUGCAUGGUUUCAGCAGAGCAGCAGCAGCAGUAGGAACCAUCUCUUGCACAUCCAAUAGGAUCCCAGUAAACUAAACUUUGACAUCCUAUUCACCACCACACCAAGAUGUCAUCUCCAAGGCAGUCUAGAAAGGCUGUGUAUGGAACAGGAAAGUUCUUCAGUGGAUAAAUGCAGAAAAGCUUCCUGCUACCAGAAUGAAUUUGGGUUGGAAGAUGGCUGGGAAAAUAUGACUUCUGUGAUGACUUCAGAAGCACUAGUGAACUAAAAAAUAUUUGCACAGUGGUAGUGAUCAGACCAAGAUGCCUUAUUCACAAGGAAGUUAUGGAAAACCCUUACAAUAUGCAAUAUGUGAAAUAGUCUGCACUCUCAGCCCUGUGCUACAAAAAUGAAGACACAAAGAACUUCUCUGCUCUUAAAGAAGAGAUUAGCUUCAUCCUAAAACCAGGCCAUUCACUUGUCUUUCUGAAAUUUGCUGCUCCUCAAUCUU